CUGAGGGGAGAAAGGACAAGAAAAGAACAGCAGCUUCAGUAUGAGCUACAGAUUUCCUCUGAGGCCAUCAUGUCAGCUGCUUCAUUUCCAGGAACCUGGAAGGGAAAUUCUGACAACAGGGCUCUGGGACUGCUGACCCAAAAAAUCAUUAUUGUACUUCAGCCUUCCACUGGAUGGACCCAGUUCCUAUUCUUGAAGCAGCUUAGGGAACAAAUAGUGCUCAAUAUAUAAUUUAUAACUUUA